GGACAGAGAUUGUAUUUUUGCCACGAAAGAAACACUCAUUUUUCUUCAGAUGAAUCUACCGUUGGAUCAUGCAAUAAUCACUUUAAGAUUUGUAUAGAUGAAUGAAUAAUUUUUCUUUGACUUCGAAAUCUUUCCACGCAUGUAUUUCGCUUUCCACCUAUCCAUUCCUCUCCCAAGAAGCUUAAUUCCUCUCCACCUCCACGUUAAGAAGA
rnacentral:lncRNA from 1 species